ACGGCUCAGUAACACGUGGACAACCUACCCUUAGGUCUGGUAUAACCCCGGGAAACUGGGAAUAAUACCUGAUAUUGUGCGGAGGCUGGAAUGCAUCGCUCAAGAAAGCUCCGGCGCCUAAGGAUGGGUCUGCGGCCUAUCAGGGUAGUAGUGGGUGUAACGUACCUACUAGCCUACGACGGGUACGGGUUGUGAGAGCAAGAGCCCGGAGAUGGAUUCUGAGACACGAAUCCAGGCCCUACGGGGUGCAGCAGGCGCGAAAACUUUACAAUGCCGGCAACGGCGAUAAGGGAACCUCGAGUGCCAGGAUACAAUCCUGGCUGUCGUAAUGCCUAAAAAGCAUUGCAUAGCAAGGGCCGGGCAAGACCGGUGCCAGCCGCCGCGGUAACACCGGCGGCUCGAGUGGUAACCGUUAUUAUUGGGUCUAAAGGGUCUGUAGCCGGCUGGAUAAGUCUUUUGGGAAAUCCGGCAGCUCAACUGUCGGGCUUUCAGGAGAUACUGUCCGGCUCGAGACCGGGAGAGGUGAGAGGUACUUCAGGGGUAGGGGUGAAAUCUUGUAAUCCUUGAAGGACCACCAGUGGCGAAGGCGUCUCACCAGAACGGAUCUGACGGCAAGGGACGAAAGCUAGGGGCACGAACCGGAUUAGAUACCCGGGUAGUCCUAGCCGUAAACGAUACUCGCUAGGUGUCGGCCACGGUGCGACCGUGGUCGGUGCCGUAGGGAAGCCGUGAAGCGAGCCACCUGGGAAGUACGGCCGCAAGGCUGAAACUUAAAGGAAUUGGCGGGGGAGCAC
rnacentral:rRNA from 1 species